UGAGUCACAUAACGAGGUCGUUAGCAGGACUCUGGAGAACCUGACUGAACUGAGGAGGAGAUUCAGCUGUUGGAUUCAGGUUGUUGGACCAGAGAGACUCUAAGAGCUGCAGGACACUGGACCUCCAGAACCAGGACCGCCCACCGCUGUAGUCUGGCUGAUUCGCUCCAUUAGAUGGGAACUUUUUCUUUGUGACGUUUUGAAGUUGGCUCAUAUUUCUGAUAACAUUUGGAUGGAAAACAGAAACCUGCUGGAGGAAGUUCUGGAAACGUUUCACCACUUGGUUCUUUUACAACCCAGUUGAGCAGAAGAGAAAAAAAGCUGCUAAUAUUCAUACAAAUCCUGGAAACAUUGGAAAUCGAUGGAAACAUGAGGUGUAAAACGACGUCGCAUGAAGACAGAAAGCCUGACCUCAGAUCAGCAGAGAGACACGGAUCCGUUUCAUCUCUGGUCACCAGGAACCAGAUGUUGUGUGUUAAAUGAAACGCCGCGCUGCUGCUGCUCUCUGUCUGUCCCUGAAUGGACCGGCGCCAGCGCCGAAUCCGCUCAAAAUGCUAAUGGACUGAAUCAGUCCACCAUUCACGCUGAACUGCUGUGACAGUCCAGCGGCUGGUGUCUGCCAGGAACGCCGCUCCUGCCUCGGCUCUCUCCGGCCCACAAUGCAGCGCUGGACAAUGAGUCCCAGUCAGCCGGAGGGCCGCCGUCUCUCUGCUGGCCGUGUGGUUUUACGGCCCUGCAGUUUGUAACGGGCUCCGGCGGCGCGGAGACAACCUGGAACAAAUACAGCGAGUCCAACAAAAGACCCAGUGAAACCUGCAGGACCGUAGAUAUCAUCCUGUGACGUCAUUUCAAACAUCGGCGAGGAAAUAAAUACUAAUCGGUUAAAAACAAUUCAAUGUGUUGCAAUCAUGCAGCUGUUGGAAUGAAACCUGAAGCUGAUGGAGGACAGAGAGCUGCAGCGACCAGAAUCACCACCAGAUGUUUUGAUUCAGCGUUUCUAUGGUGUUAAUUUUAUGGUUUUAAUUCUGUUUUCUAUGUUUUUGUUUUACCUCAAUAAUUACAAAAAACUGUUUUCAAAUAAUUUACUAAAGUCAGGGUGUAUGUUGAACUAUUAAUUCCUCUCUUGUUGAAUUUAAUCAUAUUUUGCUUCAGUCUGAAGACAAACAUGUUUUCUGCUGCAGAUUUCUGCAGCAUUUUAUUAAUAUUGUUGUUAAUCUUGUUUUUGUAUAUUGUUAAAACUUUAAAAACUCUUUAGUGUGAACCUUCAUACGUGACGCUGCUGUUAAGCCUGAAUUCCUCCUUGGCAUGAAAAUAAAAUCUGUUUUGUUUUUAUUCUAUAAAUAUAAGACAUCUUAUAUGUUAUGGAGAAAACCGGAAAUCAUAAUUUAUGUUUCAGCUUUUUGUUCUCCAACAUCAACAGAACUGGUUGCACAGUAAUGAAACUACAAAUGCACACCACACUUUUCAGAUUUCAGUCUGUUUUCUGACGUUUUGUCCUUUGCUCUGUUUUGAGAUCUUCGGUGGAGUUUGUUUGCAGCAGAGCUAGAAGGUGAACUCUGUUUUAAAUCUGCAGACUUUACUAAACUCCAACAUGAUGCAUCUCCUCGCGCCGCCCAGGAAUGUUCGCUGACAUGAUUAAAACCUGCUGAGCUA